UACGUAGGGGGCGAGCGUUGUCCGAAGUUACUGGGCGUAAAGCGCGCGUAGGCGGGAAAUUAAGUGAGAAGUGAAAGGCUGGGGCUCAACCUCAUGCAGUGCUUCUCAUACUGGUUUUCUUGAGGGCGGUAGAGAAAAGUGGAAUGGCUGGUGUAGCGGUGAAAUGCGUAGAUAUCGGAAGGAACACCAGUGGCGAAAGCGGCUCCCUGGUCCAGCACCGACGUUCAGGCACGAAAGCGUGGGGAGCAAACAGG
rnacentral:rRNA from 1 species